rnacentral:rRNA from 1 species
GGGGAAUAUUGGACAAUGGGGGGAACCCUGAUCCAGCCAAGCCGCGUGAAUGAAGAAGGCCUUUUGGUUGUAAAGCACUUUAAGCGAGGAGGAGAGGCCCUAGGUUAUAACCCUAGGUGCUUGGACGUUACUCGCAGAAUAAGCACCGGCUAACUCUGUGCCAGCAGCCGCG